GUGUUUGUCCAGUACAUUAUUUACAAUGAAAUAUGGUAAUUUGUGCCUAACCUUUUAGUAGUCGCUAUAGUUCAGAUGCAUUUGGGUCGUAAGCAAAUUAUAUGAUUUGCAGCGGUGCUGCCUCCAACCCAUAUAUGGAGAAGGUUCCGUAAACUGUGUAUUUGAAUAUGCCUGAUUUGGAAAGGAGAUGGUCAUUGGUUCAUCUGCAAAUGUGUGGAUCUCCCUCCCUUUUGCUCGAUUGCCCCACCUUGCUCCUUUGGCUGAUUAAUAGCUAUUUCCGCAGCCCAUGACGCUGGUUGAGGUUAGUCUUUCAGCAUCUGUUUUCUUCAUUACAUGUCUUUUAAAUUGUAGGAUAGGCCCUUACAAAUAACUUAAUUAACUACAUGUCUGCAUUAAUAUAUUUGCCUGAUGGGUUUCCCUAUUAUGGCUCAUGCAUGGUCAUAGAUGUAGUUUGCCUUUCCUGUUGUUGUUUCUCUCAAUAUUUCUAUCCCACUAUAAUGUAUUUGUUAUGAACGUACCUGUAUAUGAAAGAUGAUUAUCUCCAUUAUUACUGUUCGUACUACCAUUUUUAUCCAAGAUUUAAAACACCUAACGCAUGCCCUUUUUGAAGUAUCUUCAAUGCAGUCUAUUGGUUCUGAACAUACUACCAACUACUAGCGGAGAUAGCUAUCUGAAAUAAGCAUGCUAAGCAUGAACAUUGUUCUACUUACGGGAAGAACCCUCAGGUGAUGAUAGGUCAUGGUUCUUUGCCAUUUCCUUUACAAAAUCGGUUGAAUCUUGUGAUUCUAAGUUAAUUAGUAUCAUGUCCUAUAUACCUUUCUGUUUGUAUAAAUUCACAACUUUCAUGGAAGCUCUUGAAUUGCGAGUAUUAAUCUCAGGUUGCUGGGUAUGUUUGCUGAUAGUAUGCUGUCAUGCAUCCACUGAGCAAUUUUCUUGUGAUUUUACUUGUGAUGACACAUUUCUAAUCUUUCUUUGGGAUACUGAAAUAUGGUUUGCCUUGGGAAAUAUCUGAGAUAUGAUCCAUGCUACUUUAUUUGAAUUGUUUUUAUGUUUGCACCCUUGUUUUGAUUUUAGUUAUGAUGUUCUCUUUCUUUUGGUUGCUCACCUGUGUUUUUUGUCGCCAUUCUCCGUCUAGAGAUCCAGGCAGCGUCCAGAUUGCUGUGAUCAUCCUCCAUCAAGAAUGCCAUGGGGUAUUUUGGGCUCUCUUCUAUGUCUCUGUUCCAGUGAUAAACUACUGUUUGAUCCUUUUUGUGUGUGGCAUGUCUACUUAUUUUGGGCCCUGUUAAUUGAUGCUAACUAUGCUGGCCAUUUGUGUGUGCCUAGGUCCUUGUGGGAGCUGCAUACAAACCCGUGUGGAUGUAUUUGGUUGGUAGCUGCAACAGCCUGCCAAUCGGAUGAGAAGCCAAGGAGCCAUUGGCAAUGGUGUAGCUUCAGCAUCCUGUCAAUCGGAGGAGAGGCCAAGGAGUCAUCGGCAAGAAGCAACCUUAUCCUAGAACUUGAAGUGGAGUAAUGGUUAAUAAUGUUUUAUGGAUCAUAUGUUUUCUUUUGUUCACACUUGAGAGCUACAAGCAUUAAGUUGUUAUGAUAAAUUAU
rnacentral:lncRNA from 1 species